rnacentral:rRNA from 1 species
UGGGGAAUAUUGCACAAUGGAGGGAACUCUGAUGCAGCGACGCCGCGUGAACGAAGAAGGCUUUCGAGUCGUAAAGUUCUUUUAUAUGGGAAGAUAAUGACGGUACCAUAAGAAAAAGCCCCGGCUAACUACGUGCCAGCAGCCGCGGUAAUACGUAGGGGGCUAGCGUUGUCCGGAAUCACAGGGCGUAAAGGGUUCGCAGGCGGAAAUGCAAGUCAGGUGUAAAAGGCAGUAGCUUAACUACUGUAAGCAUUUGAAACUGCAUAUCUUGAGAAGAGUAGAGGUAAGUGGAAUUUUUAGUGUAGCGGUGAAAUGCGUAGAUAUUAAAAAGAAUACCGGUGGCGAAGGCGGCUUACUGGGCUCAUUCUGACGCUGAGGAACGAAAGCGUGGGUAGCAAACAGG